UUGUGGUUAAACCGCAAAUAAGUGCAGAUGGUGGAUGCCUUGGUAUGGAAUGACGAUGAAGGACGUAGCAGCCUGCGAUAAGCCUCGGUGAGGUGGCAAGCAACCUUUGACCCGGGGAUAUCCGAAUGGGGUAACCCAAUCUGAUGGAAGAUCAGAUUAUCAGCCGCUGAAUUCAUAGGCGGUUAGAAGACAACCUGGGGAAGUGAAACAUCUCAGUACCCAGAGGAAGAGAAAACACCGAUACGUGGUUCUGUUGCUAUCACUCGCGCAAACGUUUGUGAGUGGUAGUAGCAGUGCCACAUAAUUCCCGGAGUAGUGGCGAGCGAAACGGGACCAGCCCAAACUUAGUGACGCUUGAACUUGCGAUGCGUGUAUAUCUUUUGAUAGAUACGAAGCGCGGGUUUUAAGGCUCAUUCAGCCAAUGUGUUUCUAAGCGUAGUAAGAUAGUAGCGUCUUGAGAGUGAAUGAUUCUCAAGGGGAGAAUUAGAAAUCAAAACUUUCCUAGUCGAAUGGCCUGGAACGGCCAGCCAAAGAAGGUGACAGCCCUGUAGGCGAAAGGAGUUUUGGGCUCCUAGUUAUUAUUCUUGAGUACCACGGGACUCGUGAAAUCCAGUGGGAAGCAAGCGCGACUAUGCGUUAAGGCUAAAUACAUUCCAUAACCGAUAGUGAACUAGUACCGUGAGGGAAAGGUGAAAAGCACCCCGGUGAGGGGGAUGAAAUAGUACCUGAAACCAUCUGCUUACAAGGAGUCAGAGCGCUUACCACUUCAGCGUAGGUUUUUUGCUUAUGGCCCUCGUGCUAGUCAGAUACCGUACCGCCUGUUAUCGCAGGUUAGGCGGCUGUACUGGGAACGAGCUGUAGGCGAACCUACGCUGAAGUGGUGCGUGAUGGCGUGCCUAUUGAAGAAUGAGCCAACGAGUUAGCUGGUAGUAGCUGAUUAAGUCCUACGGGACGUAGUCAAAGUGAAAGCGAGGCUUAACAGCCGUACUGAGUUUGAAAAGCGAUGCGUGUAUUUUCACGCCGCGAUUUUCUUACUCAAAAGCUGCUAUCACUAGACCCGAAACCGGGUGACCUAGCCAUGACCAGGGUGAAGCACAGGUAACACUGUGUGGAGGCCCGAACCCACGCGCCGUGCAAAACGCGGGGAUGAGUUGUGG
rnacentral:rRNA from 1 species